ACAUUGGCUCUUUUAAGGGCCAUAACUUAGCAAUUAAACAGGUUAGU
rfam:Lottia gigantea unplaced genomic scaffold LOTGIsca_78, whole genome shotgun sequence.